ensembl:snRNA U4 U4 spliceosomal RNA
AGUUUUGUGCCAUGGCAGUAUCGUAGCCAGUGAGAUUUAUACAAGGUACAAUUAUUGUUAAUUGAAAACUUUUCCCAAUAUCCCACCAUGACAACUUGCAACAUGGUCAGCAUUGGCAAUUUUUGAUAGUCUCUAUGUAGA